CUCCCUUAGAAAAAAGCCUUCAUGCUGAGUCACCAGGAUUCUCACAGGCAUCAAGGCAUACUCCUGAGACCUCAUAUGGCAAACUGCGACCUGUCCGGGCAGCUCCCCCUCCACCUACACAGAAUCACCGAAGGCCAGCAGAGAAGAUUGAAGAUGUGGAAAUCACACUGGUGUGAUGAUGGGCUUGCCCAUCCAUUACUGCUACAAUCAAGGCCAGGCUUGGAGUUUGGCCAGUCUUGUUUUUUAGGCACCUUUGCAUGAUGAUGACUCUUGAACAGAGCAAAAAACAAGGAGGAUUAUGUGUGACUGGGUGGCCUGGUAGACUCCUCCCACGUUUUGAAUAUUUCGUGCCUUUUUUUUUUUGUUGUCAUUUUCUAUGUCAUUUCUCCUACCAUAGCACAAAUCCUAGCGGACCCUAGGAGCAAAGAGGGGGGCAGCCCUCAUGCCUAACAGUGGUCUGUUUUUAUAUGAGACUCAAGACCAGGCCUCAUUCCAGGGCACAGUCCCUAAAUUACUGAUCAUGUGCACUCGUACAGUAUAUUACUGUGACCACAAGGAUGUGGCAAAGAUUCUCAUCUUUCUUCAAGUGGCUUUUGCUCAUCUGAUUGAGAAUUAAUCAGAUCAUGUUGGCUACAUAAGGAAACAGAAGGAGGGAUUUCAGGAGAGGCUGGCUCCUCCCCAAGGUUAGUCCCCAGACUGAGAAAGUGAAACCUUAUUGGGAAAAAUUGGACUGCCCUGAAUUUAGCACCAAUUGCAUUAACGCACAUCUCUUCCACAACUAACAGACUUAAAAUAACAGUGUCCUUCGUAUUAAUAUCUGUGCCAUUCAUUUAGAAUUAGCAGAGCUAAUAUGGAGGGGCUGAACUAGUAGCCACAUCUUGUUCAUCACAUAGACUAAUAGAAAGGAGGCUGUGGCUAAAGCAGAAAUGGAACUUCCUGAUCUGAAAUUAGCCAAUAUAAUGUUCUUUUGUAUUUGGGUAUUUUUCAUCUUAAUUUUUACAGCAUAUACUCUUCUUACCAGUAUCCUUAGAAUCCAAAUGUCUAGAUAAGUUGAGGACACAUACCUGCAUUGUUGAGCUUCUCUACUGGGGACGCCCCGGCAUUAUUUUAUUCCCAAGCCAGCAGACCGGCCCAGACAGCCAGGCUGUGGCUGGUCCAGACCAACUGCUAUGGUGGAAAAUGCAGCUUCCAGGUCCCACUACCCUGACAUUUCCGUGGAAGGAAGAACCUGGUGGCUCGUGGAGGAAACCAGCUUUCUAUGAGAAAGGACUGAAGGAUUGCGCACCCUGCACAAGUACAGAUUGACCAGGAAAAGACAAGUGUCUUCUGUGUGUCACAGGGAAAGCCAGGAGUGGCCUUCUCUGCAGGCCAGCAAGCCUGCAGCAGCAGGUGCCCCCACGUCAGGUGCUGACUGUCCGCUGUCCGCUCCUGUAGAAGGUAGGGAGCACAAUACCUAGGGACUAAGGGAUGUUCGCCGGUUGUGGUUUGUUUUUUUUUUUUUUCCUUGGUUAAGAAAUCAAAUUUGCAGAAUUUAAUCUACAAGUUGUAUUAUGCUUUGAAAACUCCAUCCCUCCUAAGAAUCUUAAAAAACUUGAAAUGCUCGCCAAAUGUCCCCAUGGGAUUUUUGACCAAAAGUAAGGUGAUAACUGAAGAAAUUUUUAGUUCUUUGAUCACUUCAGUGACAAUACCCAUUGAUGAAUCUUCUCCAUGAUUUGGGGUUUUUUUCGUUGUUGUUUUUUACACUUCUUAACCUGUUGAUCUAUUUGAGGUCUUUUGUGUUUAUCAAACUUAUUCUUAAGUUUAAAAAAGAAAUUAAAAGGGUGGUUUUUUUAAGAUUUUAAAGUUUGCUAACAUAUUAAAAAUCUUCAAAUGCUUAUUAAAUAGAGCAGUUCUUGCCACCCAGUCUUGUAUUCUGUCUUUAGCUAGCCAAAUUGUCCUUGAAUUUGGGUUUUCCACAACCUCAAAGGGUUAUUUGAAAUCUUUUGUUGUAUUUUAAAAUAUUUUUUGGAAGAGCUGCUAAUUUUAUUUUAAAAAACAAAGUUGUGAAACAUGCCUCCUUUUUAAAAAAUAACCCCUCCAUCCAGGAUAUGGAAUCCAGCACCACAGUGCACAGGUCAGGGCUCGGAGGGAGCCUCUGUGCAGAUGUGCUUUCUUUACAGUGGCUG
rnacentral:lncRNA from 1 species